CCCUUAGAUGUCCUGGGCCGCACGCGCGCUACACUGAUGCAUUCAACGAGUAUUUCCUUGGCCGAGAGGCCUGGGCAAUCUUUUAAACCUGCAUCGUGAUAGGGAUAGAUUAUUGCAAUUAUUAAUCUUGAACGAGGAAUUCCUAGUAAACGCAAAUCAUCAAUUUGCAUUGAUUACGUCCCUGCCCUUUGUACACACCGCCCGUCGCACCUACCGAUUGAAUGGUCCGGUGAAAUCUCGGGAUUGUGGCCAGUUCACUUUAUUGGGAGUUGGCUGCGAGAACUUGCUUAAACCUUAUCAUUUAGAGGAAGGUGAANUCGUANCA
rnacentral:rRNA from 1 species